GGAUGGGGAGGACAGGGGAGUCCUAAGGUGGAAGGGUACCGGUUUGUCCUUGCCACAGAGAGUGCGUGUGGUGAAGGGAUUUAAUUUAAGAUCAGCCCCGGGCUUCUGAGAAUCUGGCCCUGGGAAGCAACGUAAAUACAAGAAAAUCCCUGUGGCCAGGGACUUUGAUCCAAGUGUUUCGAAUCAGGCCCUGGGUCGGGCUCACAGCUAAGCGGUUUACCAACCGUGGACCUAUGCAGGAUCCCAUAGAUGUGAGGGGUGGAGACGGCCGCAAGCAGGAGGCCAGAACCAGAAGGAAACGGAAUUUGGGUGGGGGUGGGGAGCUAGGACCAGUCCCCCCGCGGGGGCGUCUUGGGGAUGUGGAACUCGCACACCCAGAGGAGGUGGCUCUCCCAGGGGUGGGCCCCGGAUCCUAGGGGCGCGGGGCUGGCCCCGCUCCCCGCCGGCCUCGCGGCAACUGGGCCUCCCCCUCGCUGCACGCAGCCCUCCCAGCUCCCCCGCCCGCCCUCGCUCCCGCUGGGCCCCGCAGCCGGAGGAGGGGCGGCCUCCCGCCCCCGCCCGCUGGAUCUCAGAGUCGCCGCCCCCGGCGCCGGGCUGCAACCGCCACGCCCCGGGAGAGGACCGACCGCCCAGACCGCCGGUCCCGGGGCCCCCUGGGCCACGCCGAUCACGGGGAGCCCCUCGACUGCCUCCCAGAGCAAAGUGAGAAAGGGAAGCUUAGCCCGCCGCUGCCGCCUCCGAGCAGCCCGCCAGAUUUCCAGUUGUCCCAGCACCAUUUGUUGAAAAGAGUCUUUUUC
rnacentral:lncRNA from 1 species